rnacentral:rRNA from 1 species
GUGGGGAAUAUUGGACAAUGGGCGAAAGCCUGAUCCAGCCAUGCCGCGUGUGUGAAGAAGGUCUUCGGAUUGUAAAGCACUUUAAGUUGGGAGGAAGGGCAGUAAGUUAAUACCUUGCUGUUUUGACGUUACCGACAGAAUAAGCACCGGCUAACUUCGUGCCAGCAGCCGCGGUAAUACGAAGGGUGCAAGCGUUAAUCGGAAUUACUGGGCGUAAAGCGCGCGUAGGUGGUUUUGUAAGUUGGAGGUGAAAUCCCCGGGCUCAACCUGGGAACUGCCUCCAAAACUACUGAGCUAGAGUACGGUAAAGGGUAGUGGAAUUUCCUGGGUAGCGGUGAAAUGCGUAGAUAUAGGAAGGAACACCAGUGGCGAAGGCGACUACCUGGACUGAUACUGACACUGAGGUGCGAAAGCGUGGGGAGCAAACAGGAUUAGAAACCCGAGUAGUCC